UAUGAUGAAAUGAAGUGAGGCAAAUGAUAUAGGCAUUGUGACAUAGAGUUCAGCUACUACCUACCUGAUGAUUCAUCAAAGGAUGAUCUGCUUUCCGACUGAAGGAUCUCCUGCCUUCCGGCUAAAGGAUCGCCUUCUUUUCGACUAUUGACUUGAUUGCAGGAAAGAGAGAUUGUUGGCAGAAAAUAAUGAAAACACAAGGGCUUGUGCUGUAUGCUGAAAGAAUUGCUCCUGAGACAAUAAAGGUGAAAUGCAGAUAAGGACCGUCAA